rnacentral:rRNA from 1 species
UACGUAGGUGGCAAGCGUUGUCCGGAUUUAUUGGGUUUAAAGGGUGCGUAGGCGGUUCCAUAAGUCAGUGGUGAAAUACGGCAGCUCAACUGUCGAGGUGCCAUUGAUACUGCGGAACUUGAGUACUGAUGAGGUAGGCGGAAUUGACGGUGUAGCGGUGAAAUGCGUAGAUAUUGGGAGGAACACCAGUGGCGAAGGCGGCUCGCUGGACCGGUUCUGACGCUGAGGCGCGAAAGCGUGGGGAGCAAACGGG